GUGCCAGCAGCCGCGGUAACACGUAUGGGGCAAGCGUUGUUCGGAAUCACUGGGCGUAAAGGGCGUGUAGGCGGUUCGAAAAGCCCGGCGUGAAAGGUGUCGGCCUAACCGACAGACUGCGCUGGGAACUGCCGGACUGGAGUCAUGGAGGGGGAGCUGGAAUUCCAGGUGUAGGGGUGAAAUCUGUAGAGAUCUGGAAGAACACCGGUGGCGAAGGCGAGCUUCUGGCCAAUGACUGACGCUGAGGCGCGAAAGCGUGGGGAGCAAACAGGAUUAGAUACCCCGGUAGUCC
rnacentral:rRNA from 1 species